rnacentral:rRNA from 1 species
CGGUGAAUACGUUCCCGGACCUUGUACACACCGCCCGUCAAGCCAUGGAAGCUGGGUGUACCUAAAGUCGAUAACCACAAGGAGUCGCCUAGGGUAAAACUAGUAACUGGGGCU